rnacentral:rRNA from 1 species
AUUGAACGCUGGCGGCAGGCCUAACACAUGCAAGUCGAACGGUAACAGGAAGCAGCUUGCUGCUUUGCUGACGAGUGGCGGACGGGUGAGUAAUGUCUGGGAAACUGCCUGAUGGAGGGGGAUAACUACUGGAAACGGUAGCUAAUACCGCAUAACGUCGCAAGACCAAAGAGGGGGACCUUCGGGCCUCUUGCCAUCGGAUGUGCCCAGAUGGGAUUAGCUAGUAGGUGGGGUAAAGGCUCACCUAGGCGACGAUCCCUAGCUGGUCUGAGAGGAUGACCAGCCACACUGGAACUGAGACACGGUCCAGACUCCUACGGGAGGCAGCAGUGGGGAAUAUUGCACAAUGGGCGCAAGCCUGAUGCAGCCAUGCCGCGUGUAUGAAGAAGGCCUUCGGGUUGUAAAGUACUUUCAGCGGGGAGGAAGGGAGUAAAGUUAAUACCUUUGCUCAUUGACGCUACCCGCAGAAGAAGCACCGGCUAACUCCGUG